AGGUAUUUAGUAUUAAUAAAAACAUUUGAUUUCGGCUCAAAAGAUUAUGGUUCAAACCCAUAUUUACCUA
rnacentral:tRNA from 1 species